UACACUUCUUAUCAUAAUUUCACUGAUAUAUCAAUUUAUCUACUUGAAUAUAGAAGAAAAUAGAUGCUAAUCCCUUUCCUUUGUUACUUUGCAUGUGAACUCUCUUCGUCUCUCAUAUGAGUCCAUCGGGACUUCCCUUUUGCAUUUUCGUUGGGUUGAAAUCUAACACUUUGUUCGAGUCAAUCUUGUCAAGAAUUGGAAGCUAAUAUACAGGGGGAAGAAGCUGAUAUACGACAAAGAGGCCCAAAACCAACAAAUGUUUUUCAAAAGAAGCUGAAAAAGGAAAUAAAAUUGGCCCAAUGUUUCUGGGCAGCAGAAGUUUAGGCACGAAAGGCCCAAACUCAUUCUCUCUCUCUCU
rnacentral:lncRNA from 1 species